CUAUAAUAUAAUACUACGUUGAAUGCACCGCAUGCCUUCAGAUCUGUGAAGUUAGGGGACGUUAGGCCAUCUUAGUACAAUGGCAGGAAACAACAUAGGAACUUCCGGGGUGUAGC
rnacentral:rRNA from 1 species